GGGCCAGUGGCGCAACGGAUAACGGGCCUACUACGGUCAGGAGGAUUCCCAGGUUCGAGUCCCUGGCUGGCCUG